GUGCUUGCUUCAGCAGCACAUAUGCCAAAAUUGGAACAAUAUAGAGAAAAUUAGCAUGCCCCUGCACAAGAAUGACAUGCAAAUUUGUAAAGCAUUGCAUAUUUUA
rnacentral:snRNA from 1 species